AAGCAGAGCCCGAGAACUUAACGACUCGGCCACGGGGCUGGCCCCGGAUUUGUUUUUGCCACUUACUAGAUGUGAACUCACCUAGAUCACUCUCUCGGGGAGAAGCCAGUUACCAUGUUAAACAGACACGCAAGCAGCGCUAUGGAGAGACUUAGAUGGUAAAGAACGGAGGCCUUCUGGUGACCACCAGAGAGGAACUGAGGCCUCCUGCAACAGCCUGGUGGAUGGGCCGUCUUAGAAAACGAUUCUUCAGCUCCAGUCAAGCCUCCAGAUAACUGAAGCCCAGGCUGUCACCUCGACUGUGACCCCGUGAGAGAAGCUGAGCCAGAACCACCCAGGCUCAUCUUAGCACUGAAUAAUAGCAGCUGUUGAAACAACCUCCACAGCUGAGACAGACGUGCAUUUCUGUGACAUAAAGCAAGAGGCCACAUUCUGACCUGCUCUGGUGAUGAAGAAAUGCUCUUGGAGUUGAGUGCCAGCCCAAUUUUACUGGUGUGGGACACAUCAUUGUGGAAUGGUGGCCGCAGCCAUUCGAUAUUUGAGAUUCCCUCUGGGAGCGAGGAGACGGAAGGGGAGCGUUUGAAGAGGCUGAAGGAGACCUGGAGAGAGAGGUGUCACAAAAGCCAAGUGAAGAGAGGGGCAACAGAAGGAAUGCCAAUUAUGAAAUUAGCCGAGAGUUUAGGCCCAAGAGGCCACUGGCCAAUUAGGGUCUCGCUGGUCAUCUUACAGAGAGCUUCCACCCAAGUCCUGGAGGGAAGAAGCCAGAAGGACAGGUAAAGGCAAAACGAUUGGAGCCCAGUAAUUAGGCUCUUCUAAAAAGAGCAUAAUUCUCUAAGUAGAGAAAGAGACUCAGAAGAGGCUGGAGCAGAUUAACAUAAGAUUAUUCACGAGACACCAAGGCUGGCAAUUUCCUUUCAUUUGUUUUAACCUGUGCUCUGGUCGGAGAGGCCAGUUUCUCUCCAUUUUGUUUCUGAUCUUUGUUUUCCUCUUCCCAUUGUUCUUCUGAGAAAACGAUUCUAUGGGUCUUUAUUAAUAAUUUAUUUUAUACCCUAAAUCAGAAAUAAGACGUUUCUUCAUUUUGCUGUGAAAAUUCCCAGUUCUUAAUAAAUUGUUGAAUUUUUCAUGAGACUCUGCCUUGGGGAAAACCUAUUCCAUGAUACAGUUCUUGAAUGAGAAACACAAAUGUAGACAAUUACAUAAUUAUAAGAAGACAAUUUUACCUCUCCUGUACGACAAUUUAAAUCCUUAGAACAUGACAUGAUUUCACUAAAAAAAAAAACGAGUCUCCUAACUCUCUGGUUCCUUGUUGUAUCUCAGAUCCAGGCAUAGUGCCUUGCACUCAACAAAUAUUCAUCAGUGAAUUAAAGACAUCACCCACUUGGUAUUAAUCACAUGUUGCUUUGUAUUGAAAAUGAAUAUGUUUAGAUCUCACUUCAAAUGAGUACGUUUCUUAAGUGACUAUGUUUAAGACUCCAUCACCAGAUUUUGGUAUCCCUGAGGUCAGGAUCUAUAAAUUUUCUCUCUUUGCAGCCCAGAUCUGGAAUUGCGUAGGUUCAACAAUGCUGCUUGAAUUGUGGAGCGAAUCACAUUAGCCAUAAAAUGGUAGCGCCUGUAUGUGUAUUUACAGCUAAUACUAACUAAAACCUUCCUGCAGGUUUUUUUGUGGGUCCCCUUUAUCGGGAUAAGGAUGCUGCCUUUUGGUCCUAGAUUGACAAAUUAAAAAAAAAAUGAAUGGUUGCUGAAUUUUAUCAAGUGUUCUUUCUAUAGGUGAUCAUGUUUUUUCUCCUUUAUUAACGUGGUAAAUGAUGUUAACUGUUUGCCUAGUGCUAAACUAAUCUUUACUUAUGGAAUAAAACUAACUUGGU
ensembl:lncRNA